UACGAAGGGGGCUAGCGUUGCUCGGAAUCACUGGGCGUAAAGGGUGCGUAGGCGGGUUUUUAAGUCAGAGGUGAAAUCCUGGAGCUCAACUCCAGAACUGCCUUUGAUACUGAAAGUCUUGAGUAUGGGAGAGGUGAGUGGAACUGCGAGUGUAGAGGUGAAAUUCGUAGAUAUUCGCAAGAACACCAGUGGCGAAGGCGGCUCACUGGCCCAUAACUGACGCUGAGGCGCGAAAGCGUGGGGAGCAAACAGG
rnacentral:rRNA from 1 species